rnacentral:rRNA from 1 species
UACGGAGGGUGCGAGCGUUAAUCGGAAUUACUGGGCGUAAAGCGCACGUAGGCGGUCAGGCAAGUCGGGUGUGAAAGCCCUGGGCUCAACCUGGGAAUUGCAUUCGAAACUAUCUGACUCGAGUAUGGGAGAGGGAAGCGGAAUUUCCGGUGUAGCGGUGAAAUGCGUAGAUAUCGGAAGGAACACCAGUGGCGAAGGCGGCAUCCUGGACCGACACUGACGCUGAGGAGCGAAAGCCAGGGGAGCAAACGGG